GACAGUUAAGUCAAGUUCAGUGUGGCUCUCCAGAGGGAAUUAUGGGAAGAUUUGAAUUUGGAAAUGAGCCUAGUAGGUAAAGCUGUAAACCAGGUCUGGCAAUGACAUUAGGGUACUGGAGAGAAGUUAAUUUAGAGAGCAGAUUAUGGUUUACAAUUCCAGACAAGAAGCUAUUUCAAGUGAAAAAGACAAGUCUUGAAAUCCGUAAUUCCCAUCAGUCUCCCUCUUCCAGCCUCUUCUGCAGUAUGAAUCAAGCACCUGCAGUGUCUCCUAAAGUGUGUCAAGGUUGUUAUUUUGAACGUAUUGAGAGGAGAAAUGUUUAAGGGAGGAGAGAGCUCAUCCCAAAGGUAAUAGGACGACAUUAGAAAAGUCUUCAUUGAAGAGGAGUUGGUAAACUGCAGAUCCCUGUUUCUGGACCGAAUCUAAGAAUUUCUACAAAGUCAAUGACACACCAAGUCCAGCAGGUAUAUAUAUACUGUGAAGAUGCCUACUUCCUUCCAAGUUUGAAAAGAGGUUACUAAGGUGCAAGAUGGAAGCAGACUACAUUCCUAAAUCACUGAAAUACUGAGAACUUAUGUGGGAGAACCAAAAUGAACUCUACUAAACUAUGAUAUGGGAAGGAAAUAAACAAUGAUGG